AGAGUUUGAUCAUGGCUCAGGAUGAACGCUGGCGGUGUGCCUAAUACAUGCAAGUCGAACGGGCUCUUCGGAGCUAGUGGCGGACGGGUGAGUAACACGUUGGUACCUACCCCUAAGUGGGGAAUAACUGCCCGAAAGGGUGGCUAAUACCGCAUAAUCCCGCAAGGGUAAAGCAGUAAUGCGCUUAGGGAGGGGCCUGCGUCUGAUUAGCUAGUUGGUGAGGUAAUUGCUCACCAAGGCGACGAUCAGUAGCUGGAUCGAGAGGUUGACCAGCCACACUGGGACUGAGAUACGGCCCAGACUCCUACGGGAGGCAGCAGUAAGGAAUCUUCCACAAUGGACGAAAGUCUGAUGGAGCAACACCGCGUGCAGGAUGACGGCCUUCGGGUUGUAAACUGCUUUUAUAUGGGAAGAUUAUGACGGUACCAUAUGAAUAAGGACCGGCUAACUACGUGCCAGCAGCCGCGGUAAUACGUAGGGUCCAAGCGUUAUCCGGAAUCACUGGGCGUAAAGCGUGCGUAGGUGGCGUGUUAAGUGUGAUGUUAAAUCGCGGGGCUCAACCCUGUCGAUGUGUCGCAUACUGGCAUGCUAGAGGGAAGCAGAGGCAAGUGGAAUCUGUAGUGUAGCAGUGAAAUGCGUAGAUAUUACAAGGAACACCAAUGGCGAAGGCGCUUGCUGGGCUUCUUCUGACACUGAGGUACGAAAGCGUGGGGAGCGAACAGGAUUAGAUACCCUAGUAGUCC
rnacentral:rRNA from 1 species